CAGCAGCCGCGGGAAUACGAAGGGUGCAAGCGUUAAUCGGAAUUACUGGGCGUAAAGCGUGCGUAGGCGGUGAGUUAAGUCUGCUGUGAAAUCCCCGGGCUCAACCUGGGAAUGGCAGUGGAUACUGGCUCGCUAGAGUGUGUCAGAGGAUGGUGGAAUUCCCGGUGUAGCAGUGAAAUGCGUAGAGAUCGGGAGGAACAUCAGUGGCGAAGGCGGCCAUCUGGGACAACACUGACGCUGAGGCACGAAAGCGUGGGGAGCAAACAGGAUUAGAGACCCCUGUAGUCCCUGUCUCUUAUAC
rnacentral:rRNA from 1 species